rnacentral:rRNA from 1 species
UACGUAGGGUGCAAGCGUUGUCCGGAAUUAUUGGGCGUAAAGAGCUCGUAGGCGGUCUGUCGCGUCGGAUGUGAAAAAUCCAGGGCUCAACCCUGGACCUGCAUUCGAUACGGGCAGACUAGAGUUCGGCAGGGGGAGACUGGAAUUCCUGGUGUAGCGGUGAAAAUGCGCAGAUAUCAGGAGGAACACCGGUGGCGAAGGCGGGUCUCUGGGCCGAUACUGACGCUGAGGAGCGAAAGCGUGGGGGAGCGAACAGG